rnacentral:rRNA from 1 species
CCAAUAGCGUAUAUUAAAGUUGUUGCAGUUAAAAAGCUCGUAGUUGAAUUUCGGGAUUAGUACGUUGGUCGUGCCUUAGGUACGUACUGGUGUUACUGGUUCCUACCUUCUGACGAACCAUCAUGUCAUUAAUUUGGUGUGGCGGGGAAUCAGGACUGUUACUUUGAAAAAAUUAGAGUGUUUAAAGCAGGCUCGCGCUUGAAUACAUUAGCAUGGAAUAAUGAAAUAGGACGUUGACCCUAUUUUGUUGGUUUCUAGGAUUGACGUAAUGAUUAAUAGGGAUAGUUGGGGGCAUUAGUAUUCAAUUGUCAGAGGUGAAAUUCUUGGAUUUAUUGAAGACUAACUACUGCGAAAGCAUUUGCCAAGGAUGUUUUCAUUAAUCAAGAACGAAAGUUAGGGGAUCGAAGACGAUCAGAUACCGCCGUAGUCUUAACCAUAAACUAUGCCGACUAGGAAUCAGACGAUGUUAAUUUUUUAAUGACUCGUUUGGCACCUUACG